rnacentral:rRNA from 1 species
AGUUUCUUGAUUAUUUAGGAGAUUUAACCUGCCCKCUGAAAAAUUUUGAAGGGCCGCAGUAUUUUGACUGUGCAAAGGUAGCAUAAUCAUUAGUCUUUUAAUUGGAGGCUGGUAUGAAUGGUUGGACGAGGUAAAUACUAUUUUAUGUUAAUUAAAAUUGAAUUUCGAUGUUAAGUAAAAAUACUUAAAUGUUAUUAAGGGACGAGAAGACCCUAUAGAGUUUAAUAUAUGUAGUUUUAAUUGAGUUAGAGAGUAAUUUUUGGUUAAUUAUGUAAUAUAUUUAAUUGGGGUGAUUUUAAGAUAAUUAAAACUCUUUUUAGAAUUAAAUAUUUUAAUUAAUUUGUUGAUCCAUAUUUAAUGAUUAUAAGAUUAAAUUACCUUAGGGAUAACAGCGUAAUUCUUUUUGAGAGUUCAUAUCGAAAAAGGAGAUUGUGACCUCGAUGUUGGAUUAAGAUAAAUUUUGGGUGCAGAUGUUUAAUUAUUAGGUCUGUUCGACCUUUAAAUUCUUACA